CCUACGGGAGGCAGCAGUAGGGAAUCUUCCGCAAUGGACGAAAGUCUGACGGAGCAACGCCGCGUGAACGAUGAAGGCCUUCGGGUCGUAAAGUUCUGUUGUCAGGGAAGAACAAGUACCGGAGUAACUGCCGGUACCUUGACGGUACCUGACCAGAAAGCCACGGCUAACUACGUGCCAGCAGCCGCGGUAAUACGUAGGUGGCAAGCGUUGUCCGGAAUUAUUGGGCGUAAAGCGCGCGCAGGCGGUUCCUUAAGUCUGAUGUGAAAGCCCCCGGCUCAACCGGGGAGGGUCAUUGGAAACUGGGGAACUUGAGUGCAGAAGAGGAGAGCGGAAUUCCACGUGUAGCGGUGAAAUGCGUAGAGAUGUGGAGGAACACCAGUGGCGAAGGCGGCUCUCUGGUCUGUAACUGACGCUGAGGCGCGAAAGCGUGGGGAGCGAACAGGAUUAGAUACCCUGGUAGUCCACGCCGUAAACGAUGUGGACUUGGCGUUGGUGGGGUAAAAUCCAUCAGUGCCGGAGCUAACGCGGUAAGUCCACCGCCUGGGGACUACGGCCGCAAGGUUAAAACUCAAAGGAAUUGACGG
rnacentral:rRNA from 1 species